rnacentral:rRNA from 1 species
UGGGGAAUAUUGCACAAUGGGGGAAACCCUGAUGCAGCGACGCCGCGUGAGCGAAGAAGGCCUUCGGGUCGUAAAGCUCUUUUAUAUGGGAUGAAAAUGACAGUACCAUAAGAAUAAGGUCCGGCUAAAUACGUGCCAGCAGCCGCGGUAAUACGUAUGGACCGAGCGUUGUCCGGAAUCAUUGGGCGUAAAGGGUACGUAGGCGGCCCAGUAAGUUAGAAGUGAAAUAAUAUAGCUCAACUAUAUAAAGCUUUUAAAACUGCUAGGCUUGAGAGAUGGAAGGGAAAGUGGAAUUCCUAGUGUAGCGGUGAAAUGCGCAGAUAUUAGGAAGAAUACCGGUGGCGAAGGCGACUUUCUGGUCAUCAUCUGACGCUGAGGUACGAAAGCGUGGGUAGCAAACAGG